rnacentral:rRNA from 1 species
GUGAAAAUUUUAAACGGCCGCGUUAGCGUGAGCGUGCUAAGGUAGCGUAAUAAUUAGCCUUUUAAUUGGAGGCCAGUGAAUGGCAAGACUAGGAAUACCUGUACUUUGUGUAUAAAAAAAACUUUUCAUCUAAGUGAAAAGACUUAGAUAACAAAGGAAGACGAAAAGACCCCGCGGAACUUUACCUUUUCUUUAUACCUCUGCAUACAAGCUUAAAAGUAUAUAAGGUUUGAUUGGGGCAAUCUUGGAACCAAUAAAGCUUCCAACCUUUAUACAAAAACAUAUAAAAUUUAUUAAGGACCAUAAAGUAGUUACCCCGGGGAUAACAGCGUAAUCCAACUUAAGAGUACACAUCGAAAGUUGGGUUUGCGACCUCGAUGUUGGCUUAAGGAUAUCCACAUAAGUGCAA